rnacentral:rRNA from 1 species
CUGGGGCUUCCCGCCGAGUCGUGGGAAUGACUUCGGCGGAUCGCUAGUUAGCAUAGUUUAGGGUUAGAACUAGGGCGGUAUCUGAUCGCCUUCGAUCCUCUAACUUUCGUUCUUGAUUAAUGAAAACAUUCUCGGCAAAUGCUUUCGCAGUAGUUAGUCUUGCGACGGUCCAAGAAUUUCACCUCUAGCGUCGCAAUACUAAUGCCACCGUCUGUCCCUUUUAAUCAUUACCUCGGUUCAUUAAAACCGACAAAAAGAACAGAAUCGAGGUCCUGUUACUUCAUUCCAUGCACAGACAUUCCGGCCGUUUUUACAGCCCGCUUUAAGCACUCUAAUUUUUUCAAAGUGAACGUGUCGGCCACCCUGGAACACUCGGGUAAAGAGCACUCCGAGCGAGCCGACAAAAUUUUAAUUGUACCAAACGCGGGCGAGCUAUACCCGAAGACCGAGAAACGCCGUCCGCUGGAAAGUUUGCCGAGAG